rnacentral:rRNA from 1 species
AACGAACGCUGGCGGCAGGCUUAACACAUGCAAGUCGAACGCCCCGCAAGGGGAGUGGCGCACGGGUGAGUAACGCGUGGAUAUCUGCCUUUUGGUUCGGAAUAACCCCGGGAAACUGGGGCUAAUACCGGAUGGUUCCUAUGGGAUAAAGAUUUAUCGCCAAAAGAUGAGUCCGCGUACGAUUAGCUAGCUGGUGAGGUAAUGGCUCACCAAGGCGACGAUCGUUAGCUGGUCUGAGAGGACGAUCAGCCACACUGGGACUGAGACACGGCCCAGACUCCUACGGGAGGCAGCAGUGGGGAAUAUUGGACAAUGGGGGCAACCCUGAUCCAGCCAUGCCGCGUGAGUGAUGAAGGCCUUCGGGUUGUAAAGCUCUUUUGGCGGGGACGAUGAUGACGGUACCCGCAGAAUAAGCCCCGGCUAACUUCGUG